rnacentral:rRNA from 1 species
GCGGCGUGCCUAAUACAUGCAAGUCGAACGCUUCUUUCCUCCCGAGUGCUUGCACUCAAUUGGAAAGAGGAGUGGCGGACGGGUGAGUAACACGUGGGUAACCUACCCAUCAGAGGGGGAUAACACUUGGAAACAGGUGCUAAUACCGCAUAACAGUUUAUGCCGCAUGGCAUAAGAGUGAAAGGCGCUUUCGGGUGUCGCUGAUGGAUGGACCCGCGGUGCAUUAGCUAGUUGGUGAGGUAACGGCUCACCAAGGCCACGAUGCAUAGC